rnacentral:rRNA from 1 species
UACGUAGGUGGCAAGCGUUAUCCGGAAUUAUUGGGCGUAAAGGGCUCGCAGGCGGCAGCUUAAGUCUGAUGUGAAAGCCCACGGCUUAACCGUGGAGGGUCAUUGGAAACUGGGCAGCUAGAGUGCAGAAGAGGAGAGUGGAAUUCCACGUGUAGCGGUGAAAUGCGUAGAGAUGUGGAGGAACACCAGUGGCGAAGGCGACUCUCUGGUCUGUAACUGACGCUGAGGAGCGAAAGCGUGGGGAGCAAACAGG